rnacentral:rRNA from 1 species
ACUCAAAUGAAUUGACGGGGGCCCGCACAAGCGGUGGAGCAUGUGGUUUAAUUCGAUGAUACGCGAGGAACCUUACCAAGGCUUAAAUGGGUAUUGACGUAUGUGGAAACACGUAUUUCUUCGGACAAUAUUCAAGGUGCUGCAUGGUUGUCGUCAGCUCGUGCCGUGAGGUGUUAGGUUAAGUCCUGCAACGAGCGCAACCCCUGCCAAUAGUUGCCAUCAUUCAGUUGGGGACUCUAUUGGGACUGCCUACGCAAGUAGAGAGGAAGGUGGGGAUGACGUCAAAUCAUCACGGCCCUUACGCCUUGGGCCACACACGUGCUACAAUGGCCGGUACAGAGGGCAGCUACACUGCGAAGUGAUGCGAAUCUCGAAAGCCGGUCUCAGUUCGGAUUGGAGUCUGCAACUCGACUCUAUGAAGCUGGAAUCGCUAGUAAUCGCAUAUCAGCCAUGAUGCGGUGAAUACGUUCCCGGGCCUUGUACACACCGCCCGU